rnacentral:rRNA from 1 species
CCCGGGCCUUGUACACACCGCCCGUCACACCACGAAAAGCUGCUUGAACCAGAAGUCCGCAACCUAACCCUCGGGAAGGAGCGGCCCAAGGUUUGAGUAGUGAUUGGGGUG